rnacentral:snoRNA from 1 species
UCCAGGCACUGGCCCAGAAACACUGUGGUGCAUGGGCCCUGAUCCCCUCUGCUGGGCCUCAGGGAUAAGUUUGGCUACAGACAUCA